AAUCAGUGGAUUCCCGAGACUCAAGCCACUCGAGGGAAAGAUCAGCUGAGAAAACAGAGAAAACUCAUAAAGGAUCAAAGAAGCAGAAGAAGCACCGGAGAGCACGAGACCGGUCCAGGUCAUCCUCCUCUUCCUCCCAGUCCUCUCACUCCUACAAAGCAGAAGAGUACACUGAGGAGACAG